UCGGAAGGCCCCCGAUUCAUCGUCUUUUCUUGUCCCGCUCGUCGGCGCUUGUGAGCUCGACCGCUUGUUGAUGGUCUCCGAUGUCCAGACUCCGCUGCGCUCUCCAAAGCGACCCUUCCUCUCUUUCCUGCUUGCGAGGUUCGGAAGGCAAACUGAAGGAAUUGAAUUGGGCAACUCUUCCGUCGCGAACUUCGCCAUCACCAACCACCGCUCGGCGUCGGAGGUUGAAGGGGCUGCAGAAUCCCCAUCUCUAGGCUCCAUCGACUCCUACAGCAUCACCUGACGCAAGAGCGAGAUCUGAUAUCCCAUCGAGACAAAUCGUUCUGAUAGCAUCACAGGAAAUAAAGUAGAGAAUGAAGUCUCAAUUGCAGGUCAUUUGCAGGUUUCCCAGCACAAGUAGAUUAUCAUUCCAUCAAGUUGCUCGGGGCAGUUGAGAUUGUCUUUGAGAAACUGAAGCUUAUGCUGGUUGAGCAUUCAGAGGAGCUUAAGAUUGCAUUAAACCAUGCAGGCUUUAUUGAAUCUUUUUUGUAGCCUGAGUCCAAUUAUAAUAGACUUAGAUUGGCCACUUGCAUACUAAAACAGAGGUUGCUUGUAGAAUUGUCUCAAAGUCAUCUUCUUUGAUAAAUCUGUACAUGAAGUAUUCUAGCAUCAGCCUUUGAAGAGAUGAACAGAGGAUAGCUUUACUUUUAUUUGUAUUAUCCCCUUGAGCUCCAAUCAUGUGUUUAUUUGAAGUGACAGCAAAUAAUGUUGUUGACCAUUA